rnacentral:tRNA from 1 species
GUAGCGGUUGUUCAGUGGUAGAAUUCUUGGCUUCAAUGCAGGGGAUAUGGGUUCAAUUCCCUGCCAGUGCA